rnacentral:rRNA from 1 species
GAUGAACGCUAGCUACAGGCUUAACACAUGCAAGUCGAGGGGUAACGAGAGGAAAGCUUGCUUUCCUUGUCGACGACCGGCGCACGGGUGAGUAACGCGUAUCCAACCUGCCCCCAACUAGGGAAUAACCUUGCGAAAGUAAGACUAAUACCCUAUAAUUUCCUCAGAUGUCAUCUGACGAGGAAUAAAGAUUUAUCGGUUGUGGAUGGGGAUGCGUCUGAUUAGCUUGUUGGCGGGGUAACGGCCCACCAAGGCAACGAUCAGUAGGGGUUCUGAGAGGAAGGUCCCCCAAAUUGGAACUGAGACACGGUCCAAACUCCUACGGGAGGCAGCAGUGAGGAAUAUUGGUCAAUGGGCGGAGGCCUGAACCAGCCAAGUAGCGUGCAGGAUGACGGCCCUAUGGGUUGUAAACUGCUUUUAUACAGGAAUAAAGUUAGCCACGUGUGGUUAUUUGUAGGUACUGUAUGAAUAAGGACCGGCUAAUUCCGUGCCAGCCGCCGCAGUAA